UACGUAGGGUGCGAGCGUUGUCCGGAAUUAUUGGGCGUAAAGAGCUCGUAGGCGGUUUGUCGCGUCGACUGUGAAAACUUGGGGCUUAACUCUGAGCUUGCGGUCGAUACGGGCAUCACUGGAGUUCGGCAGGGGAGACUGGAAUUCCUGGUGUAGCGGUGAAAUGCGCAGAUAUCAGGAGGAACACCGGUGGCGAAGGCGGGUCUCUGGGCCGAUACUGACGCUGAGGAGCGAAAGCGUGGGGAGCGAACAGG
rnacentral:rRNA from 1 species